GACGAACGCUGGCGGCGUGCCUAACACAUGCAAGUCGAACGGAGAUUUCAGUAAUGAAAUCUUAGUGGCGAACGGGUGAGUAACGCGUAGACAACCUGCCUUUUAGAUGGGGACAACACCGCGAAAGUGGUGCUAAUACCGAAUGUUGUAUUUUAAUCGCAUGAUUGAGCUACUAAAGAUGGACUCUGUAUAUGCUAUCGCUAAAAGAUGGGUCUGCGUCUGAUUAGCGAGUUGGUGAGGUAAUGGCUCACCAAGGGGACGAUCAGUAGCCGGUCUGAGAAGAUGAACGGACACACUGGGACUGAGACACGGCCCAGACUCCUACGGGAGGCAGCAGUGGGGAAGCUUCCUCAAUGGACGAAAGUCUGCCGGAGCAACGCCGCGUGAGUGAAGAAGGUUUUCGGAUCGUAAAACUCUGUUUUCAGGGACGAAUGUGCAGAUUGUGAAUAAUGAUUUGUAAUUACGGUACCUGAGUAGAAAGCCACGGCUAACUACGUGCCAGCAGCCGCCGCCG
rnacentral:rRNA from 1 species